rnacentral:lncRNA from 1 species
AUGUGCUUUUAUGAGUAUCAUUACACCCGCUGUUGUCAUAGUCCAACCUCCUCCCUGAACCCGUCCAGCCUCACAUCUCCAGCCACCUUGGUCGACGUUCACGCAGGAGGACAUGGUUCUCUGACAGCUAUUGAAGGCGUCAUUUAUUUUCCCCCACGCUCGCGCGCUACGCUUAGCACAGAAUACGGUGACAUGUCACACUACGACGAGGCAGCACGGGAUCGUAUGCAAACAGUUGACAGACCAAACCGACGCGUUCCCGACACGCAUCAUUCGCAAACAAGCCAGACGUGUUUGUGCAGUGCCGGUGAUACGUUCAGUGCUCUAAUGUUCAGACGUUCGACCUCUAAGUCCGAGACUAGAGGAUUCAAAUGACGGUAGAGCGAGGGAAGACAAAAGUGGAAUUUGGUUUCUUCGAUCUUCCGAAUGACUAAACACAACUUAUCCAGGGAACCGGCUCACAAAUAUUUAAUUAAAAAUAAUAAAUAAAGGCUGCAGUAUCUGAUAUUUGACA